GUCUAUGGCCAUGUUACCCUGAACAAGCCCGAUACCAUCUGAUCUUGGAAGCUAAGCAGGCCUGGUUAGUACUUGGAUGGGAGACCACCUAGGAAGACCCAGUGCUAUAGGUG
rnacentral:rRNA from 1 species